GUUAGGGUUAGGGUUGGAGCUAGGGUUAGGGUUAAGGUUAGGGUUGGAGUUAGGGUUAGUGUUGGAGCUAGGGUUAGGGUUGGGCUUGGAGCUAGGAUUUUUCUGAGUGCAAUGAACCAACUCCCGAGUCUCUUGGAUGUUCCUAAAAAAAUUUGAUUUUUUCCCAUAGGAAUGCAUGGGUUAUGGGUUAGGGUUAGGGUUGGAGCUAGGGUUAGGGUUAGGGUUAGGGUUGGAGUUAGGGUUAGUGUUGGAGCUAGGGUUAGGGUUGGGCUUGGAGCUAGGAUUUUUCUGAGUGCAAUGAACCAACUCCCGAGUCUCUAGGAUGUUCCUAAAAAAAUUUGAUUUUUUCCCAUAGGAAUGCAUGGGUUAGGGUUAGGGUUAGGGUUGGAGCUAGGGUUAGGGUUAGGGUUAGGGUUAGGGUUGGAGUUAGGGUUAGUGUUGGAGCUAGGGUUAGGGUUGGGCUUGGAGCUAGGAUUUUUCUGAGUGCACUGAACCAACUCCCGAGUCUCUAGGACAUUCCUAAAAAAAUUUGAUUUUUUCCCAUAGGAAUGCAUGGGUUAGGGUUAGGGUUAGGGUUAGGGUUGGAGCUAGGGUUAGGGUUAGGGUUAGGGUUGGAGUUAGGGUUAGUGUUGGAGCUAGGGUUAGGGUUGGGCUUGGAGCUAGGAUUUUUCUGAGUGCACUGAACCAACUCCCGAGUCUCUAGGACAUUCCUAAAAAAAUUUGAUUUUUUCCCAUAGGAAUGCAUGGGUUAGGGUUAUGGUUAGGGUUAGGGUUGGAGCUAGGGUUAGGGUUAGGGUUAGGGUUGGAGUUAGGGUUAGUGUUGGAGCUAGGGUUAGGGUUGGGCUUGGAGCUAGGAUUUUUCUGAGUGCAAUGAACCAACUCCCGAGUCUCUUGGACGUUCCUAAAAAAAUUUGAUUUUUUCCCAUAGGAAUGCAUGGGUUAGGGUUAGGGUUAGGGUUAGGGUUGGAGCUAGGGUUAGGGUUAGGGUUAGGGUUGGAGUUAGGGUUAGUGUUGGAGCUAGGGUUAGGGUUGGGCUUGGAGCUAGGAUUUUUCUGAGUGCAAUGAACCAAC